GAAUGAAAACGCACACCUGAUGCAAGGCGAAGGUCAGGCUGUUUGACGUUGAUGACCUCGUCGAUCUCAACCUGAAAACUGAAGAUCCCAGACUGCCGACCCUCCUCGAACAUUCUACUGCUCACCGUCAACCAAACCAGGGAGCCGCUCUACAUCUAAAGUGACAGAAGCAUUCAACGCCUCCAGUUAAAGCUCCGCAAACUUCUCUAAACCUGUUCCACACUACAACUGCCAAGCUGGCAAGGGCAACAUCAUCAGCAAGGCACAGAAGAGAGGAGCGAAGAGGUCAGUUCCCUCUUUUGCUCUUUCUGUCUCCAGCUCCCUGACAGCCUGCGAUACCUGCCACUUUACUGUUCACCUGGGGAGAGUGUAGUAUAUAGAUAAGCACUGAGAUUCACACAGAAACAUCCACAAGUCUAGGUCUGAGGAGACAGUUACUGGCUGAAUUGCACAUCUUAUAAGACUCUCGUUGGAUUAGGUCAGAAGCCUGCAGCGUGAUCUUAACGCACAUUCCACCCCCGGACACGCGAUUUCCAAAAUGAUCAAUGUGAUCCCUAAGAAUAAAG